GAUGCACGCUAGCGGCAGGCCUAACACAUGCAAGUCGAGGGGUAACUAGAGUGAUAGCAAUAUUACUUUGGCUAGACCGGCGCACGGGUGCGUAACACGUAUGCAACCUACCUUAUACUGGGGAAUAACUUCGAGAAAUCGGCGCUAAUACCCCAUAACACUGCGGAGAGACGUCUCUUUGCAGUUAAAGCUCCGGCGGUAUAAGAUGGGCAUGCGUCCAAUUAGCUAGUUGGUGAGGUAACGGCUCACCAAGGCUACGAUUGGUAGGGGUUUUGAGAGGAUGAUCCCCCACACUGGGACUGAGACACGGACCAGACUCCUACGGGAGGCAGCAGUGAGGAAUAUUGCGCAAUGGACGAAAGUCUGACGCAGCCAUGCCGCGUGCAGGAUGACGGCCCUAUGGGUUGUAAACUGCUUUUGUACGGGAAUAAACCCUUCUACGUGUAGGAGGCUGAAGGUACCGUAAGAAUAAGCACCGGCUAACUCCGUGCCAGCAGCCGCCGUAA
rnacentral:rRNA from 1 species